GACGUAGGUGGCGAACGUUAUCCGGAAUUAUUGGGCGUAAAGGAUGCGUAGAUGGUGUAGUAAGUUAUCGGUGGCAAAUCGAGGCUCAACCUCGUGGAAGUCGGUAAUACUGCUAUGCCAGAGGAUAGGAGAGGUUAACGGAACUCCCUGUGGAGCGGUGAAAUGCGUAGAUAUAGGGAAGAACACCAAUAAGGCGAAGGCAGUUAACUAGUCUACUCCUGACAUUGAGGCAUGAAAGCGUGGGGAGCAAAACGG
rnacentral:rRNA from 1 species